GCUGUUAUUCAGACAGCAAUGAAAAUUGGAACAAUACAGAAAAGAUUAGCAUGGCCCCUGUACAAGGAGGACAUGCCAAUUUGUGAAGUGCUCCAUAUUUUU
rnacentral:snRNA from 1 species